CAGGCUGCAACUCGCCUGCAUGAAGUCGGAAUUGCUAGUAAUCGCAGAUCGGCAUGCUGCGGUGAAUACGUUCCCGGGCCUUGUACACACCGCCCGUCACACCAUGGGAGUCGGUAACACCCGAAGUCGGUAGCCUAACCGUAAGGAGGGCGCCGCCGAAGGUGGGAUUGAUGACUGGGGUGAAGUCGUAACAAGGUACC
rnacentral:rRNA from 1 species